rnacentral:rRNA from 1 species
CCUACGGGGGGCUGCAGUGGGGAAUAUUGCACAAUGGGCGCAAGCCUGAUGCAGCCAUGCCGCGUGUGUGAAGAAGGCCUUCGGGUUGUAAAGCACUAUCAGCGGGGAGGAAGGCGGUGAGGUUAAUAACCUCAUCGAUUGACGUUACCCGCAGAAGAAGCACCGGCUAACUCCGUGCCAGCAGCCGCGGUAAUACGGAGGGUGCAAGCGUUAAUCGGAAUUACUGGGCGUAAAGCGCACGCAGGCGGUCUGUCAAGUCGGAUGUGAAAUCCCCGGGCUCAACCUGGGAACUGCAUUCGAAACUGGCAGGCUAGAGUCUUGUAGAGGGGGGUAGAAUUCCAGGUGUAGCGGUGAAAUGCGUAGAGAUCUGGAGGAAUACCGGUGGCGAAGGCGGCCCCCUGGACAAAGACUGACGCUCAGGUGCGAAAGCGUGGGGAGCAAACAGGAUUAGAUACCCCAGUAGUC